GGGAGCGGGGAUGUCGGGAAGCAGCACAUGUUUGGAAGAAGGGAUGCUCGGAAGCGGGGAUAUUUCCAUUCCUGCCGGCAUUGCCCCCGGCCCGGCCCGGUGUUAAGGUCACAGCAGUGGAAGGAUCAUCUUUUGGGGUUGGCUGAUGCAUCUUCCUGUGUUACCCAUGCAGCAAAAUAGGGGUUGUGAACAAGAUUCUCAUUCAGGAUGCUUAAAUCAUGUUCAAGAUUUCUAAAACCAUCCCAAGUCACUGGCUUGGCAGGAUCUGAUUAUGCAACUUGCUUCUCAGUCUUCCUCUUCCACCCUGAUUUUGAACUUUUAGUUCAAGCAUCACUGCCUUGAUUUAGGCACAGAUGUAUCCAUCAUGGGAAGCUCACAGAAAGAUUAGUGUCCCCCUGCUCUGUCUCUCUGCCCAGCUAAGGGAAUGGCCACAUCUGCUGUCAGCACAAAUCAAAUAUAAAAUUACUGUGAGUUACUCAAA